GCGAGUGAAGAGGGAAGAGCUCAAAUUUGAAAUCUGGCGGUCUCAGGCCGUCCGAGUUGUAAUCUAGAGAGGUGUUUUCCGUGCCGGACCGUGUACAAGUCCCUUGGAACAGGGCGUCAUAGAGGGUGAGAAUCCCGUCCAUGACACGGACUCCCGGUGCUCUGUGAUACACCUUCGAAGAGUCGAGUUGUUUGGGAAUGCAGCUCAAAACGGGUGGUAAAUUCCAUCUAAAGCUAAAUACAGGCGAGAGACCGAUAGCGAACAAGUACCGUGAGGGAAAGAUGAAAAGAACUUUGGAAAGAGAGUUAAACAGUACGUGAAAUUGUUGAAAGGGAAACGCUUGAAGUCAGUCGCGUCUGCCAGGACUCAGCCUUGCUUCUGCUUGGUGCACUUCCUGGUGGAUGGGCCAGCAUCGAUUUUGGCCGCCGGAAAAGGGCGGGAGGAAUGUGGCAGCUUGCUGUGUUAUAGCCUCCNGUCGUACACGGUGGUUGGGAUCGAGGAAUGCAGCACGCCUUUUGGUCGGGGUUCGCCCACGCCACGUGCUUAGGAUGCUGGCGUAAUGGCUUUAAACGACCCGUCUUGAAACACGGACCAAGGAGUCUAACAUGCCUGCGAGUGUUUGGGUGUCAAACCCAGGCGCGUAAUGAAAGUGAAAAGUUGGGACUCUUUAGUGAGGCACCGACGCCCGAUCCUGACGUUUUCUGACGGAUUUGAGGCAGAGCAUGUAUGUUGGGACCCGAAAGAUGGUGAACUAUGCCUGAAUAGGGUGAAGCCAGAGGAAACUCUGG
rnacentral:rRNA from 1 species